ensembl:lncRNA
GAUGAGAACGAGGUGUGUAACUGGUGUUGACCCAGCCCUGGGGUAUCUGGAAUGAAGAACCUGCUCCCUGUGUGACCUCAGUCUCAGAGCAUUCAAGUAUUUGGGCCUGCUCACUGUGUGGAUGCUGUCAAGUGUACCUGUUCCUGUUCUCCCUCCACCGGCUGGACAGUGCACUCUCAAACCUAUAUCUUCAGGCUGAGAAUUCCCUAGUGCUCAGCCAGACAUCCUGGAAUCUACCUAGUCACCUCUCACUGGCAAAAAAGAUCUUCAGAGAAAGAGGCAAAAGAUUUGGAGUUCGUUGUGCUGAACAAAAACUAUCCCUUUAAAAACCUAUUUGCAGCCUUGCACAACGAUGAUGGAUUUAUCGUAUAAACCCAGGAUUAGUAAACAGCUUGUACCCUGUAAAGAGCCCAACAAGUCCUUGCUCAUCGGAGUACUUAAUUGCAGUGGUUAUAUCAAAGCCACGUAAAACUUAAUCGCCAGCCACAAGCCGGCCUCUGUGCUUUAUAUAGGUGCCUCUGCCAUUGUUUUUCCACCUGCUAAAAUGAAAGAUUCUUGGAAUAUCAGACUCCUGCAGAAUGGCAGUCUACUCUACAGCUGUUUUUGUAGCUGGAACAGUAAAGAGCCACUCGCAGUGAUGAGGGCCUAAAUCUGCUGAUUGUAGACACGAGGAAUUCACAAUAUCCCAUCAGUCACAAGGGGGACAGACAAGCUAAUUGACCCACUUAAUGAAUAGAGCUCCCCAAAGAGGGCUGUCUUUCAUGGCUUAAGUCCCAUUAAUCAACAAAUACUCAUUGGGUUCCUGCUGUGCCCUCAUGCGGAUGCUGGAGAUGCCUGGGGAGCAUGGCAUAAAUCAAGACCUGUGGCCCAGAGCAUCCUUUGAUGCUGCUGGGAAAAUGAUGGCACGUGAUGCUGCUGGAAACAUGGUCUGCUUAUGAACAUGGCUGUACUCACAGAAGAAGGUGCUAAUCGCAAAGACAGGGAAAGUAUAACACUGUGUGGAAGAAGAGGCUCACUGUUUGCACUGAGCUGGAAGUGUAAGGCACAGAACCUCGAGCAGGCUUCAGAUGCCAACAUCCAGGUCAGAAGUACAACUUGAAGAGACUUGUAAAGAACUCCCAACUCCCAAGGAAUUCAUCCAUUCUUUAGGCCUGGCCCUGCUUGUCCUGGGCUGCAAACUGACCUCAUCCCACAGAUCCUUGUGAGCAGAACGUGUGCCCGUGCUUCCCUCCACAGACAAGCCUCCCCAUGGGUCCUUGCUAAAGUUACCCAAGCAUCUAAGGACUAUGCCUCCCUUCUGCUUCCUGCCUCAUGUUUCUAGAAGCAUGGAAUACCUGAGGACACAUCCUGCAUUUUCAGAUCAGUCUUCACUUUCCAGCUGCAUGGUCGUAAACAGUCCUUGAUGUGGUUGAACUGCUGUGGAUAUGUAUGAAUUCCCAGUAAAACUGCCAUCAGUUUGAUUGUCUCAGCUGCUGUGCCACUUCUCUGGCUGACAUCUCUCCAAGCAACAUGACAGCCCAUCCAAGCAGUGAAACAUUAUGAGAAGACUGGAUCCUCAUUGACUACUAUCCCCAUGAGGCUGAAGAUACAUUAGGCUGGCCUAGCCAUGGCCCCUAGUUAGUGGUUGGUUUUUAAGUCCCUUUGGCCAGGCCAAUCCCCAGGGACCUGAUCAAGCUCCAAUGUAGGAACUCCUCUGAUGAUGAUGCGGCUAAGAACUACACAUGUCAACACUAACCAAAGCUAGUGACCCUACUUGGUAUAUCUUGGCCUCCAUUUUACUUGAGGCUUCCAGAGCAAAGCUGAGCUUCCUAGAAGAAAAGCUACUCUCUCUCAGGACAGCUGCCUCAGCAUCUUCUAGUUCCAGUUUCCUACCUGCCAGGAGCUCUGGAUGCCAGUCCUGUGGAGGAGUAAGCCAGUUCUCUGUGACCAACCUCUAAUGUUUGCUUCUGUGAAUAUCCAGACUUCCUAACGUUCAAUGGAGUCAUCAGGACAGACUCUAAUCCUGAAGAAGCCCAGGAGCACCUGGCCUGUUUCCAGUUUUAUGACCCAGGCCCUUGCUCUUCUCCACACACACACCAUGUGUGGUCUGUUUGUUAUGGAGUCAUGAUAGUACUCCAUAGUGCCUUUCUAAACCCACUCUUUGACAUGGAUCCUAGGGGAUCAUCUGGCCAUAGUAUAUUCUCAACUGAUGCCUGCAAACAGAGAAGGAUUUACCUUGUGCAGCAGACCCCCCACCCACAUACACCUUCAUAGGGAAGGAUUUACCUUGUGCAGCAGAUCCCCCACUCACCCACAUACACCUUCAUAGGGAAGGGUUUACCUUGUGCAGCAGACCCCCCACCCACCCACACACACACCUUCACUUUUUGUUUUCCCAGUGUGGGAUCUCGAAUUCAGAGGAUACCUUUGCCUUUUGUGUACAUGUCUCUGAACGCCCACCCUCAUCUGUAAUGGACAUACCCAUUGUUAAAGAGAGGGUUGGAAAAUGAGUACCCAGUUCUCUCAUGAACCCUGUAUCUUCAAGUCUUAGUAUGCAGUAACUCUGUGUUUAUCGUGUCUUAUACUUUAAUGUGACCAGAGAGGCAAAGCUGCCUCCUGUACGACCUCUGAGGAAACUCAGUCAGUGGUGAGUGAGGGCAAAUGCCCUCUCUUACUUGCCUGCCACCUUUAAGAACCCCUGCUCUUAACUGGAUUCCCUUCUGCAGCACUCUCUGGAUGGAGGAGGGGGUCAGAAAAACACAGGCAACAAGCAAGGAGCAUGAGGCAGUGGACAGCAGAAGGCACUGAAGAUGAAGGGGCUCACCCAGAUGCAGCUCUGUCCUCCAGGAGCCCAGACCCAGCACACACAGGAGUCCAGGCCUCCAGAUCUCUCUUGCAUUGUGCCCAGGCAGGUCUGAUUGUCUUGUGUGCUGACUCUCUAGAAGCUGCUUAGUUCCUUCCAAAGCCUUACUUGAAAAGUGGCUUAAGAUGAUCCCAGCAUAGAUAAAAUGUGACAGGGUCUAAUUCCAAGGAGGGGGUCUCAUGACAGAGGUUCAGAUUGAGAAUGUGGUUAGAACAGGGAACUGACUUUGAGAAAUUGUGAUUUGAAUAUAAAAUGUUCCUUAGGCUCAUAUGUUUGAAUCUAGUUGGGAG